rnacentral:rRNA from 1 species
AGCGAACGCUGGCGGCAGGCCUAACACAUGCAAGUCGAGCGCCGUAGCAAUACGGAGCGGCAGACGGGAGAGUAACACGUGGGAACGUACCCUUUGGUUCGGAACAACCCAGGGAAACUUGGGCUAAUACCGGAUAAGCCCUUACGGGGAAAGAUUUAUCGCCGAAGGAUCGGCCCGCGUCUGAUUAGCUAGUUGGUGGGGUAAUGGCCCACCAAGGGGACGAUCAGUAGCUGGUCUGAGAGGAUGAUCAGCCUCACUGGGACUGGGACACGGCCCAGACUCCUACGGGAGGCAGCAGUGGGGAAUAUUGGACAAGGGGCGCAAGCCUGAUCCAGCCAUGACGGGUGGGUGAUGAAGGCCCUAGGGUUGUAAAGCCCUUUCGGCGGGGAAGAUAAUGACGGUACCCGCAGAAGAAGCCCCGGCUAACUUCGUGCCAGCCGCCGCGGUAAAAC